AGAGUAACAAUUUUUCUUAAAAUUACAUUUAUUACAAGAAUCAUUGAAGAGAUAGACUUCGAAGUUGGUGUAAUGUUGUUUUCUCAUUGUUACUACGUACAGACAACUACGCCAUGGAGAAUUCAGACUUUGUAACACGGUUCUAUAAUUUAGAGGGAGAUUUAAUUUCAGAAAGAAAAAAUAAUUUUUUUAAUCUUCUAAAAGCCCAGUCUGCGCCUCUAAAUGAAGACGAUUUGAAAGGUUUAUGCCCAAGAACAUAUUUAGAAAGUAUGUUCCAAAUAGACGUCUAUUUUAAGAUAUCUACGACUUAAUUAAGGGCGGAAAUGAAGUAUUUAUCAGUAAAAUCCUAAAACAUCCUUCGCUUUUAAUGGAUACCAUCGAAAGUAUUUCCGCUGAGAGUUUUGUUAAUGAUUUUCUUCCAUGCACAUCAUACUCCAUAAGAAUGAAGAUACUGAAGAGAAUCGCUUUUGUUUUGAAGGAGCAUCAGAUGGAUGAGAUAGUUUCUGCGGUACACAAACGGUACGGACUUCAUGUAUCUUCAAAAAUACUGCACACUUGUAGUAACGAAGACAAUUAAAGAAUAUUUAUCUAACUGCGAGAUUAUACUGAAACCAAGGCAACUAAAAUUCAUUUUUGAUAAAGAUUCCGAACUGUUAGUGACAUAUUUAGAAUAUUGUAAGAA